UCCUCAGGCAUCCGAUCAUGUGGUUUAUCCCAACACUGGGAGAUUGUUCUCCGUUGGAUAUCUCAAGUGUUGUGAAUGGCUGCGAAUCUGAAGGACUACACAUCUGUUAUUUGAGGGCAACCCUCGAGCAGCAAGAGCUACUGAUGGAACAGAAUGCCAACUGCCACGUCAGGGGGAUGCUCAAAUAGUCCUAUGGAGAAGACCACAUAAGGGAAGAACCAAGACCUUCCGCCAACAAGGAGCCUUCCCUUGCCAGGUGUGUGAGUCAGCUCCACUGCAGAACAUCCUCCAGUUGCAGCCCAGCCUUUAGAUAACUGCAACCCCACAUGACAUCUUGACUACAACCUCAGGAGAAUCCCGAGCCAGAACUCCCCAGCUGAGCUGUGCGAGGUUCCUGACUUGAAGCUUCAAAAGAUGUUCAUCAGGGCUUCCCUGGUGGCACAGUGGCUGAGAAUCUGCCUGCCAAUGCAGGGGACUCAGGUUCGAUCCCUGGUCCGGGAAGAUUCCACAUGGAGCAACUAAGCUUGUGCACCACAACUUCUGAGCCCGCGCUCCAGAGCCCUCGAGCCACAACUACUGACCCUAGGUGCUGCAACUACUGAAGCCCGCAUGCCUAGAGCAUGUGCUCUGCAACAGGAAGCUACCACAAUAAGAAGCCCAUGCACCACAAUGAAGAGUAGCCCCCGCUCUCCACAACUACAGAAAGCCCGCACACAGCAACGAAGACGCAAUG